UUGGACUUCUAGAACCGUUGGAGAGAGAACGUGUUUUAUUUCUGAGAAAAGUGAAUUUUAAUUUUUAUCUUUCAAAUAUUUUUCUUUUUGUUUUUUAACAAAAGAAUUUUUGUUUAAUUUAAAUAUUCAAUAUUGUUUUAAUAAAAUAUUUUAUUUAAUAAAUAAAUAAUAAAACAUUGUCCAAUGGAUUUAUAAAAUGAGAUGGGUGGAUUGAAUCCAUCCAUAUGGUUUGAUGGAUGGAUUGGAUUAAAUCCAUUAAUUUUUUUUAUUGGAUGGAUUAAUUAUUGGAUGGAUUGGAUGGAUAUGUCUUUAAUGAUUUUAUUGCCACCCCUAAUCACAAUAUCAUAAACCAUAAUAGUCCAUGGCAAUGCAUCAAAGUGUACUUCAAACAUGAAAAGCCAUAUAUCAUUCUAACACCAACCCAAAUUCAAUCCAUAUAUCAUUCUAACACCAAUUAAUAUUCAAACAGAUUUUAACCUUCACUUCACAUUACUAACAUGCUUCUUUAACAAUCAGCUUCACUGUCCUAUUACACUACCUCAAAUUAGGUUCAAUCAAUAACAGAACAAAACAACAACACAUUCAUUUAACAGGAAGUCAACCCAAUAGGUUUUAACCUAACUGCAACUAACAUUAACACAUGAAAUUCACUUAACAGAAAUCGCAUAAGAUAACAUGAACACAUUCAACAAGUUGGCACUGACUUCAGAUUUCUCUUUCUAAACUAAAUGGCAUGGCUCUCAACAGUUUAGUACAUACAGUCAUCAAUUUAGUGUAUUAACUCUUAAUCAAUUACAUUUGCAAACCCGCAUUUUAUUAGACAUUAUUCCUUCACCAGUAUCAACAGAUUCACAUAGCAGUUUUUAACCUAACUAAUGUUUUUUCCUUCAUUUUAAACUAACCUACUACACUUACUUUUCAUUUGAAUUAUGCUAACCUAACAAUCUAACUGAUUUAUUGAAUACAUAACAAAGUAUACAAAAACACAUCAACAAAUUCAGUUGAAACACAACCUAACAAACUUAACAGUGAUAACAAAAAUUCUAACUAACAACUUAACAUAAGCUUUCCUAUAACUAACUUUUCACUCAAAGUUAACUAACUACAAACCUAAUUAACUUCUAAUAGACAUUGAACCUUAACUAACUCUCACGAAUCCCUAGAACUAACAGUGUGAUCAAAGAUAACUGUUUUUCACCUAAUUGAGAUUAACUCUCCGUUAAUCUUCAACCUCUAUAAAU
rnacentral:lncRNA from 1 species